UACGUAGGGGGCGAGCGUUGUCCGGAUUUAUUGGGCGUAAAGAGCUCGUAGGCGGUUUGGCAAGUCGGGUGUGAAAACUCCGGGCUCAACUCGGAGACGCCACUCGAUACUGCUAUGACUCGAGUCCGGUAGGGGAGUGCGGAAUUCCUGGUGUAGCGGUGAAAUGCGCAGAUAUCAGGAGGAACACCGGUGGCGAAGGCGGCACUCUGGGCCGGUACUGACGCUGAGGAGCGAAAGCGUGGGGAGCAAACAGG
rnacentral:rRNA from 1 species